rnacentral:rRNA from 1 species
UACGUAGGGGGCAAGCGUUGUCCGGAUUUAUUGGGCGUAAAGAGCGUGUAGGCGGCCAGGUAGGUCCGCUGUGAAAACUCGAGGCUCAACCUCGAGAUGUCGGCGGAAACCAUCUGGCUAGAGUCCGGAAGAGGAGAGUGGAAUUCCUGGUGUAGCGGUGAAAUGCGUAGAGAUGGGGGAGAACACUCGUGGCGAAGGCGGCCAGCUAGACCAGUUCUGACACUGAGGCGCGACAGCGUGGGGAGCAAACAGG